rnacentral:lncRNA from 1 species
AAGCCUGUUGCAGUUAAUAUGUUGGGUACUGUCGGGGAAUUAUUCUCCAUUUACGAACUUAUCACCUAAAACCAUUAAAAAAAAAACAAACAAACAAUGAGAAUGCAUAGAUGCAUAGAGAAUGAUAAAAUAUAACACAAUAUCGUUUAUAUGUCAGAUUAUAAAAUAAAUUUAAGAAAAUGAGCAACCUCCAUAGUCCUUGUUUUUAACAUCGAUAUAUGAAUCAUGCAAAGUAUAGCAACAAUUAUAUUCUUCCUCCCUGGAAUUUUAAGUUUCAACGGGAUAACAUCAUGUUCAUCAAUUUUUCCUAUAGUAUUACAUGGAGUUGAUCAGUUUAUGCCUCUUCUACAUGUUGAUAAUUAUGCAAAAAAAGUAAACAUGGAAAAACCAAAAAUAAUCCAACGAAUUUAGCACAAAGAUACACAUAACUAAAAUAAUGAGCAAACACAUAUAGAAUUUAAGUUGUAUGAUUGAUUCUAGAACUUGCCGAUCCCUAGCAAAACUUCAUUCCCUAUCUCGAAAUCAGCCAACAACAAAAAUUCCACCAAGAAAUGUAGCAGCAACGGUAGCUACCAUCUGCAGGGGUUCAGAAACACCGGCUGGCAUGUUAAAUAACUUCUUAAUGAAUUCUCAACUGCAAAAGAAAGGGAGCGGAGGUGGAGGGACUAAGCGGGUCAGACUAUAGAAACAAUACCCAUAAACACAAAAACGUGCAGAGCUUCUACUUAAGGAAUGACCUCCACAUACUUGUACUUGCAUGAUCAUCAGCAUAUAGAAGAGGCAUAAACUGAUUAACUCCAUAUACUCCUAUAGGGAAAAUCAGCAACCUGUUGAUAACAAACAAAUUUUAUAUAUAGUAAUCAAAUUCACAGAAUACAAAUUCGAAAUAAAUGAAAAUCUGAAUUCAACAGACUCUAUGAUUUGCUGAUGUUAUAAAUCCAAAGAAGAAUUAAAGAAGUUCCAAGAUAGCUUGAGUUGUGAUUCAAGAAGAGCACUCACUUACAAUUGUAGAUGGAAGGAAGCAAAAAAUAUUCGAUUUGGGUGCUGCAAUAUGGAGAAAUACAGAGAGAAAGCAAUCCAAUGCAGAAAUACAGAGAGAAAAUACAGAGAGAAACCAAAACAGGGAAGUAAAGCAAUCAAAGUCAGCAUCGGUGAACACUUUCAAGUUUCAAAGUUUAUUUUCUCACCUUCGAUUCCUUCCUCGAUAAUUUCUAGAGAAUGAAUCGGAGGUGAAAGCUCGUUGCUUUUAUAGAUCAAAAUCUAGGGCUUAAUUUUCCUUUGAUAAAAUUAUUCCAAAAAAAAAAUCUUUCUAAAGUUUACCAUCAAUAAUUGUAUAUUUCCAAAAUUUGUUAUUUCUAAAAUUAAGCACUAAUCAUUCCAUAUUCAACCCAGUCAAGCAUAAU